GUAACAGUGACUUCUCAUGAGAAGAGCAGAAACAAUAGCUAGCUUGGCUGCUUCCAUCAGAGUUGGACCCAAAUCCAACUCCUUAGCUGCCAUCUCUCUCUCUCUGAUUGUAGUAGGUCCUCUGCAGGCAGGGCUUGAACUACCCUCUUGGAUCAUAGUGGAUUGAUUCUAUGCUUCCAGGACAAGGGAGCAAUGUGCUGGUAGUAUACAUGUACACUGCACCUCCUGACAGCUGUUCAUCUGAUACCUCAGACAGGACAUCCAUCCAACUGACAAGAGUGAGGGUGAAGAGAACACUUGCUCGAAAGAGGAGUCCCAGUUGCUCGGAACCGAUGCUGUGCCAUCAAGCUGUUUGCUUUUCUGUGGCAGACAAGAGGAUGUGUUUAUGCUUCAGUCUGUGUCCUUGUGGUGUCCAUGGCCCUCACCUAUAUUGGAAGGAUGCAGACGAAGCUAUGUUGUGGGUUACUGCCAAGCUUCGAAGGAAACUGGGGAUGUCCUCCCACAGUUUUGCUGAAACAGACAUUGUGAUUAGAGGCAGCCAUGGAUGGCAGAAGCAGGAAAAAUGCUGAUGCUGAACCACUUUGAGCAUCUCCACUGAUGAACAAGCAGAUCUCAGCCCAUAUACAAGCAUUUCACCUCCAGCCAACACAGGUCACAGUGCCAAUGUUGUUUAAUCGAAAGGAUGUCGUGUUCUUUACCUUCAAUGUCUUGCAACCUUACAGUUCAUGCAGUGAUCAUGUCCAUACUCAUGACCUUCAUUGUCACUGUCAUCAUCAUGCAUUACUCCUAUUUCUUUUCCCAUUGACAUGGGAUGGACUCCAAAGCACAGUUAAAGAACAAGGAAGUUUCACUGAUGAUUGAACAACUUUAUUUACAACUAGCCAUCAAUCUGGCAUCAUUCAGUUUGAUGCCAAAUAUGUAUUCUAACAGAGAUUGGAUUGGCAAGGUAGAAACUUGCAGAAGAAUCUAAAAUGCUAAUUCAUGGACAUACAGAUGA